rnacentral:rRNA from 1 species
UUCGCCCUUAGAGUUUGAUCCUGGCUCAGGACGAACGCUGGCGGCGCGCCUAACACAUGCAAGUCGAACGAGCGAGAGAGAGCUUGCUUUCUCGAGCGAGUGGCGAACGGGUGAGUAACGCGUGAGGAACCUGCCUCAAAGAGGGGGACAACAGUUGGAAACGACUGCUAAUACCGCAUAAGCCCACGGCUCGGCAUCGAGCAGAGGGAAAAGGAGCAAUCCGCUUUGAGAUGGCCUCGCGUCCGAUUAGCUAGUUGGUGAGGUAAUGGCCCACCAAGGCAACGAUCGGUAGCCGGACUGAGAGGUUGAACGGCCACAUUGGGACUGAGACACGGCCCAGACUCCUACGGGAGGCAGCAGUGGGGAAUAUUGCACAAUGGGGGAAACCCUGAUGCAGCGACGCCGCGUGGAGGAAGAAGGUCUUCGGAUUGUAAACUCCUGUUGUUGAGGAAGAUAAUGACGGUACUCAACAAGGAAGUGACGGCUAACUACGUGCCAGCAGCCGCGGUAAAACGUAGGUCACAAGCGUUGUCCGGAAUUACUGGGUGUAAAGGGAGCGCAGGCGGGAAGACAAGUUGGAAGUGAAAUCUAUGGGCUCAACCCAUAAACUGCUUUCAAAACUGUUUUUCUUGAGUAGUGCAGAGGUAGGCGGAAUUCCCGGUGUAGCGGUGGAAUGCGUAGAUAUCGGGAGGAACACCAGUGGCGAAGGCGGCCUACUGGGGCACCAACUGACGCUGAGGCUCGAAAGUGUGGGUAGCAAACAGGAUUAGAUACCCUGGUAGUCCACACCGUAAACGAUGAUUACUAGGUGUUGGAGGAUUGACCCCUUCAGUGCCGCAGUUAACACAAUAAGUAAUCCACCUGGGGAGUACGACCGCAAGGUUGAAACUCAAAGGAAUUGACGGGGGCCCGCACAAGCAGUGGAGUAUGUGGUUUAAUUCGACGCAACGCGAAGAACCUUACCAAGUCUUGACAUCCUGCGACGAUGCUGGAAACAGUAUUUUCCUUCGGGACGCAGAGACAGGUGGUGCAUGGUUGUCGUCAGCUCGUGUCGUGAGAUGUUGGGUUAAGUCCCGCAACGAGCGCAACCCUUACUGUCAGUUACUACGCAAGAGGACUCUGGCAGGACUGCCGUUGACAAAACGGAGGAAGGUGGGGAUGACGUCAAAUCAUCAUGCCCUUUAUGACUUGGGCUACACACGUACUACAAUGGCGUUAAACAAAGAGAAGCAAGACCGCGAGGUGGAGCAAAACUCAGAAACAACGUCCCAGUUCGGACUGCAGGCUGCAACUCGCCUGCACGAAGUCGGAAUUGCUAGUAAUCGUGGAUCAGCAUGCCACGGUGAAUACGUACCCGGGCCUUGCACACACCGCCCGUCA